rnacentral:rRNA from 1 species
GACGAACGCUGGCGGCGUGCCUAAUACAUGCAAGUUGAGCGCUGAAGGUUGGUACUUGUACCAACUGGAUGAGCAGCGAACGGGUGAGUAACGCGUGGGGAAUCUGCCUUUGAGCGGGGGACAACAUUUGGAAACGAAUGCUAAUACCGCAUAAAAACUUUAAACACAAGUUUUAAGUUUGAAAGAUGCAAUUGCAUCACUCAAAGAUGAUCCCGCGUUGUAUUAGCUAGUUGGUGAGGUAAAGGCUCACCAAGGCGAGGAUACAUAGCCGACCUGAGAGGGUGAUCGGCCACAGUGGGACGGAGACACGGCCCAAACGCCUACGGGAGGCAGCAGUAGGGAAUCUUCGGCAAGGGACGAAAGUCUGACCGAGCAACGCCGCGGGAGUGAAGAAGGUUGUCGGAUCGUAAAACUCUGUUGGUAGAGAAGAACGUUGGUGAGAGUGGAAAGCUCAUCAAGUGACGGUAACUACCCAGAAAGGGACGGCUAACUACGUG